CAUUGUAUUGCAAAUCACUGAAAAAAGGAAAAUAGACAUUAACCUACUGUUAAUGUCUUAACUUUAUUUUAAGUUAUUUUAUUUACUUUUAUUUUAUUUGUUUCAUCUUUAUUGACUUUGUGUGCAACGGUUCAUCCGAAUCUUCCUCAAACUCCAAAUCUCGCGAGAUUACGGAUGACUACGCGAAGUUAAAGGUUAAAAACGCGCAGCACGUAGUCUUUUUGGGAAGCUAGCAUUAGCCAAAAGUUAUUAAUAUGAGGAUAUGACUAGGCUUAUAAUGUUAUGAAGGAGUUUCAACAGAGACUAAUAAACAAACAAAGAGCCGGCCGGCUAGGAAGCGGCGGGAAAAAAAACACUGGUUGGACAUGAAGGAAGAGGGACACAUUGACGACAGAACGACAAGCUAGCUAGCUAGCAUUAGCGUUAGCCCCGAGGCUGCCGGAGACCCGCAGUACUCUGUCGUACCGCCAGGGGAAUCAAAAUGGCCGCGACAGAGUGCGGAGGACACGGUGCUCGUCGGGGGACACCUCACACCCGGAUGUCCCGGUGGAGGAAGGAAGGAGGAAGGAAGGACACGGUGCUCGUCGGGGGACACCUCACACCCGGAUGUCCCGGUGGAGGGAAGGAAGGAGGAAGGACACGGUGCUCGUCGGGGGACCCGGAACACCGCGACACGCCGCCUGCAGCUCGUUUAAACGAGUAAACCGCAGCGAGGGGCCGCGUUGACCCGAGGACGAGCCCCACAAACGUGCGACAGAGGCCGGAGGUGGAGGUCAGGUUCCUGUUGACCUGUCACGAGGUCACAUAGAGGUCAGAGCCGUGACGUCAGAGCCGUCACCACCACAUGUGGUAAAACUUCUCCAGGUCACAGACUCCGAGAGGAACCGACGUGUCAGUUGGCUGCAGGAGGAGCUCAUAAUAAACCUCCUGCUCACUGCUGCAAGUUUGGAAAUGUGAUAGGAGGGCACGUUGUCAAAGCAGCUGAAGUCUCAUUAACUUAAACCGGAAUUUUGACUUUUGCAUCUUCAAAAUAAAAUAUUUUUUGCCACCAUAGGGAAAAAACAAGUUCUCUGGGAAAUUUUUAACAAACAGUAGAAAGAGAAUAGACCUGAUUAAUGGAAUGACUGAAUUUGAGAAGAAAUUAUAAGAAAUAAAAACAUUUAUGUGCAUUGAAAGACAGUUAAUCACAUACCUGAUGUAUGGAAAUCAAAAAUAUAUUUGAACGAAAAGAAGGAUGUGAAUCACUACACAGGUCAAAAAAGCAGAUUAAUAAAUUCAUGGUAUUUUGAGUAAUUGAUUAACGUCAACUGAAAAAACUGGCUCAACUUUUACCGUAUGUGGGUUAGGGGUUAAAAUUGACCUUGAUACCUUUAAUAUUUCACUUGAUAUCAUGCUUACGUAGUUAUUAAUGUGCGUUCAAUCAUUUUAUUAUUAGACUUCACUGCAUAGCUCACGCAAGUACAAUAUAUAGUUAUUACUCUUAAGUAUGAACGAGUCUUAAUCUGAGUCAAAUUAAAUACUUCACUUUUCAGUGUCAGUUAUUGCGUGUUUUAUUUUGAAGGAUACUGCCGGAAGCGCAUCAUUGUGUUCGCUGUAGCUUGACGCCGCUGGCAGAGCCAGAGCAGCAGUUAAAUGCGGAGCAGCUGAUUCUGUUAGGGGGCUAAAAAUAAUCAACUUUUUUUUUUGUCUCUCUCUCCAACUCUCACUGUAAAUCUUUUCCUCUUCCUCGUUUCUCUCCGUCUGUUUUUCUGACUUUAUUUAAAAAAAAAACAGGUCUAAGGAAUGAAACGGUGUCAAUAAGGAUUAUUACUUUUCUCUUGAGACUGACCCCGAGGCCUGUGUGGAGCCGUCGGCCGGUGGCAUGGCCUUGUCGUUUUGCGGCAACGACGAUGCCUACGGCGUGGAAAACGGCACGCUGAACAAUGGCUGCUUCGUGGACGCUCUCAACCUGGUGCCCCACGUCUUCCUGCUCUUCAUCACCUUCCCCAUCCUCUUCAUCGGUUGGGGCAGUCAGAGCUCGAAGGUCCAGAUCCAUCACAACACGUGGCUUCACUUCCCCGGACACAACCUGAGAUGGAUCCUCACCUUCUCGCUGCUGUUUGUACACGUCUGCGAGUUCGCGGAGGGGAUUGUCUCCAACAAGUCCGUCGAGACGACAGGAAGAUGGACGAUGGGAACGAAUCACCUCCACCUCUACAUGCCGGCGUUCAUGGGUUUCGUCGCCGCAACGACAUCUGUGGUUUACUACCACAACAUAGAGACGUCCAACUUCCCCAAACUGCUGCUCGUCCUUUUCAUUUACUGGGUGCUGGCGUUCAUCACAAAGUCCAUCAAGCUGUGGAAGUACGCGGAGUUCGACGUCGGACCGCAGCACCUGAGGUUCUGCAUCACGGGCCUGUUGGUGCUCCUGUACGGAUUAUUGAUGUCCGUGGAGAUCAACGUCAUCAGAGUCCGGAGGUAUGUCUUCUUCGCCAACCCUCAGAAGGUGAAGCCGCCAGAAGAUUUACAGGAUUUGGGGGUUCGCUUUCUGCAGCCGUUCGUCAACCUGCUCUCCAAGGCGACCUACUGGUGGAUGAACCCUCUCAUCAUGGGAGCCCACAAGAGGCCGAUCGAGCUGAAGAAGAUCGGCAAGCUGCCCAUCGCUAUGCGAGCGCUCACCAACUACCUGCGGCUCAAAGACGCCUACGAGGACCAGAGGACGCCGGAGGAUCCCAAUCGAGCCCCGUCGAUCUGGCGCUCCAUGUACCGAGCGUUCGGACGUCCCAUCCUGCUCAGCAGCACCUUCCGCUACCUGGCCGACCUGCUGGGCUUCGCCGGGCCGCUCUGCAUCUCCGGCAUCGUCAAGUUCCUGAAGGUGGAGGAGCGCAACGCCACGUCGGACAAGACCAUGGACACCUACUUCGGCGUCCAUUUCAUGUCGUCCACUAAGCUGCUGCAGAACACGUCAGUCCUCGCCGUCCUCCUCUUCCUGGCGUUGAUCCUGCAGAGAACCUUCCUGCAGGCCUCGUACUACGUCACCAUAGAAACGGGCAUCAACCUGCGCGGAGCCCUGCUGGCGAUGAUUUACAACAAAAUGCUGCGUCUGUCCACCUCCAACAUGUCCAUGGGCGAGAUGACGCUGGGGCAGAUCAACAACCUCGUUGCCAUCGAGACCAACCAGCUGAUGUGGUUCCUCUUCCUCUGCCCGAACCUGUGGGCCAUGCCCGUGCAGAUUGUGAUGGGAGUGAUCCUGCUCUACUACCUGCUGGGCUUGAGCGCCCUGGUCGGAGCGUCCGUCAUCGUCCUGCUCGCUCCGAUCCAAUACCUCAUCGCCACCAAGCUGGCAGACACACAGAAAAGCUCGCUGGAACACUCCACCGACCGUCUGAAGAAGACCACGGAGAUCCUGAAGGGCAUCAAGCUGCUGAAGCUGUACGCCUGGGAGAACAUCUUCUGUGACAGCGUGGAGGAGACCAGGGGCAAAGAGCUCACCUGCCUCCGGACCUUCGCCCUCUACACGUCCAUGUCCAUUUUCAUGAAUGCUGCUAUUCCCAUCGCGGCCGUUCUGGCGACGUUUGCGAUGCAUCACUUCAUCAACAAAUCCGUCCCCAGUCCGUCCGAGGCCUUCGCAGCUCUGGCCUUGUUCCACAUCCUGGUCACGCCGCUCUUCCUGCUCUCCACCGUCGUCAGGUUCGCCGUGAAGGCUCUGGUCAGUGUCCAGAAGCUCGGCGAGUUUCUUCAGAGUGAUGAAAUCGGAGACGACAGCUGGCGAAACGGAGACAUGUCCGUUUUCUUGGAAGCCGGAAAAAAACACCUGGGGGCGACCAAAGCCAUCAACAGGAAGCAGCCGAUGCGCUACCAGAUGGACAACUACGAGCAGCCGACCCGGCGGCCGAUGAGGCCCUCGGAGACGGAGGACGUGGCCGUGAAGGUGAGCAACGGAUUCUUCACCUGGGGAAGCAACCUGUCGACUCUGUCAGACAUCAACAUACGGAUCCCCACAGGUCAGCUGACGAUGAUCGUGGGCCAGGUGGGUUGUGGGAAAUCUUCCCUGCUGCUCGCCAUGUUGGGCGAGAUGCAGGCGAUCGACGGACGAGUCCACUGGAGCAAGCCGCCUGAAUGUGAGAUGGUCCACGAGGCGAACAUCAGUUGGUCAAAGGCAGAGGAGUCUGACGAAGACAUCAGGAGCAAGAACAGAUACUCCGUGGCCUACGCUACCCAGAAGUCCUGGCUGCUCAACGCCACAGUAGAGGACAACAUCACCUUCGGCAGCCCCUUCAGUAAACAGAGGUACAAAGAGGUGAUUGACGCCUGCUCUCUGCAGCCGGACAUCGACCUGCUGCCUUUCGGAGACCAAACGGAGAUUGGAGAGAGGGGCAUCAACCUGAGCGGAGGUCAGAGACAGAGAAUCUGUGUGGCCAGAGCUCUCUACCAGAACACCAACAUCGUCUUCCUGGACGAUCCCUUCUCGGCGCUGGACAUCCACCUCAGCGAUCAUCUGAUGCAGGAAGGAAUCCUCAAGUUCCUCCAGGACGACAAACGGACUGUCGUCAUGGUAACCCAUAAACUGCAGUACCUGAUACACGCAGACUGGAUCAUAGCGAUGAAGGACGGGUCCAUCCUGAGGGAGGGAACCCUGAAGGACAUUCAGACUCACGACGUCGAGCUUUACGACCACUGGAAAACUCUGAUGAACAGACACGACCAGGAGCUGGAGAAGGACAUUCAGCAGGACAGUCAAACGACACUCGAGAGGAAAACUCUGCGGAGAGCGUUCUACUCCCGAGAGGCCAAGAGCCAAGUAGACGACGAGGAUGAAGAGGAAGAGGUGGAGGAAGAGGACGAUGACAACAUGUCCAUGACCACCAACAGACGAUCAAAAAUCCCAUGGAAGGUGUGCUGGUGCUACAUGUCCUCCGGUGGUUUCUUCAUGGUCUUCCUCAUGGUGUCGUCCAAGCUCCUCAAACACUCCGUCAUCGUUGCCAUCGACUACUGGUUGGCCCUCUGGACGUCCUCCCAGACCAAUCAGAGUUUGACCAACGCCACGCUCCCCACCCGCAGCGCUGAGGAGGCUGAGCCCGACUCCUACUUUCUGCUGGUGUUUAUUAUCCUGUGUGCGGCCGGAAUCACGUUGUGCCUCAUCACCUCCCUCACGGUGGAGUUUCUGGGUCUUUCUGCCGCCACCAACCUGCACCACAACCUGCUCAACAAGAUCAUCCACGCCCCCAUCCGGUUCUUCGACGUCACUCCCCUCGGGCAGAUCCUCAACAGAUUCUCAGCUGACACGAACAUCAUCGAUCAGCAUAUUCCUCCCACACUGGAGUCGUUGACGAGAUCCACGCUGCUCUGUUUAUCGGCCAUCGGGGUCAUAUCCUCCAUCACUCCCAUUUUUCUAAUUGCCUUGAUUCCCCUGGGCAUCGCCUUCUACUUCAUCCAGAAGUACUUCCGAGUGGCGUCCAAGGACCUGCAGGACCUGGACGACUCCACGCAGCUUCCUCUGCUCUGCCACUUCUCCGAGACGGCCGAAGGUCUCACCACCAUCAGAGCGUUCAGACACGAGGCCCGUUUCAAGCAGCGCAUGCUGGAGCUGACCGACACCAACAACACCGCCUACCUGUUUCUGUCGGCCGCCAACCGCUGGCUGGAGGUCCGAACGGACUACCUCGGAGCGGUGAUCGUGCUGGCGGCGGCGGGGGCGUCCAUCUGGAGUCUGGAGUACAGUCUGCGCUCUGGCAUGGUGGGGCUCGGACUCACCUACGCCCUCACGGUCACCAACUACCUGAACUGGGUCGUGAGGAACCUGGCCGACCUGGAGGUGCAGAUGUCGGCGGUGAAGAAGGUCAACAGCUUCCUCAGCACCGAGUCGGAGAACUACGAGGGAUCAAUGGACGCCUCUCAGGUGCCUGAGAACUGGCCCCAGGACGGCGAGAUAAAGAUCCAGGACCUGUGCGUGCGCUACGACCCCAUGCUCAAACCGGUGCUCAAACACGUCAACGCCUACAUCAGCCCCGGCCAGAAGGUGGGAAUCUGCGGCCGCACCGGCAGCGGGAAGUCGUCGCUGUCCUUGGCCUUUUUCAACAUGGUGGAUAUUUUCGAAGGAAGGAUCGUCAUCGACGGGAUCGACAUCUGUAAACUUCCUCUGCAGACUCUCAGGUCGCGACUUUCCAUCAUCCUCCAGGACCCUGUGUUGUUCAGCGGAUCAAUUAGGUUCAAUCUCGAUCCGGAGAGGACGUGCACCGACGACCGACUCUGGGAGGCGCUGGAGAUCGCCCAGCUGAAGAACAUGGUGAAGGCGCUGCCUGGAGGCCUCGACGCCGUGGUGACGGAGGGCGGUGAGAACUUCAGCGUCGGUCAGAGGCAGCUCUUCUGUUUGGCCAGAGCCUUCGUCCGGAAGAGCAGCAUCCUCAUCAUGGAUGAAGCCACGGCGUCUAUCGACAUGGCCACGGAGAACAUCUUACAAAAAGUUGUGAUGACUGCAUUUGCAGACAGAACAGUCGUCACGAUUGCACACCUCGUGUCCUCCAUCUUGGACGCCGAGCAGGUGUUGGUCUUCUCCUCGGGGAUCUUGGUGGAAAGCGACUCGGCUCCCAACCUGCUGGCGCAGGAGGAGAGUCUCUUCCAUGUGCUAGUGAGGACUCACAAGUAGACCCGGAUCGGCCCCGGACCGCUUUGGCUCAGCUCGACCGUCUCCUGUCUUUUUCUUUUUCCUCCUCCGUGUUUCCUCCUGUGUCUGUUUACUUCCCUCGUCUGUUCCUGUCUGAGCCGGAGCUGGAGGCUGAGUCUGGGUCUGCUGAAGCCUCACCGCCACUGACAGCCUGCACCGCGUCCACACCAUCCUCACGGCCGACCUGGUCAUCGUGAUGAAGCGGGGGAACAUUCUGGAGUACGACAAACCCGAGACCCUCUUGGAGCAGGAGGACGGGAUGUUCGCUUCGUUCGUCAAGGCCGACAUGUAGACGGACAAACGAGUCGGCGAUCACAUCAGUUGGGUUUCAUAUUUCCAUCAUCAAUACAAGUGAAUGAUCAGUGCGACUGUAUCAUUAGUAAUUAGAUUAGCUGAAGGAGGGAAAAGUGAUGAAAUAUAUAUUGUUUUCUGUUUGUUAACGUAUCUCACGAAAGACGGAACCAACGAUGAACUGAACCUACGAACAAUAUUGCGUGUGACAUAAUUAUGGGACAGCCAAUCGGCAUUGAGAUCCUCCGACAUCACUGACGUCCUACGGAGAACAGGCGGAGAUUAUUGAAUUGUGUUUAUUUCGCGACACGAAAAUUUGCCUUGCGUUUGGUGUGAACGCACCAUAAUACUAGUAUUAUGGUGCGUUCACGUAUUAUUGACUACGGACGUUUCUACCGCAAAGUUGUUGAUCGAAAAGUUUUAGGCUGAGCUGAACUUUUCAAAAGUCUUUAAUUAUCUUUACCUGCUUUUAGAUUAUGCAACCACCUGUAUCAGUUUACACUCUUUAUCACAUGUAUUAAUGCAACAAUAAGAAAAGGAGAAACUUUUAAUUUCUUUCUUAAAUCCUUUUUUUAAAAAAUGGUUGAAUGUUGGUUUUCGGCCUGUGUCUCCGUACCAUUUUAAAUCUUAAUAUUUUAAAGCACGUGCUCCAUUUUCACGUUAGGUUCCACCAUAGAAGUUUUGGCUGGUAGAGUCGAUGUUACUGUCGCGUUCAGUGCGAAUUAUGAAGUGUUGAUCACAUGAUGUCGGAAGUCUGAGGACGAACACGGCGAGAGCUUUUCCAUCCACGUCUGAACACUUUGACGGGGGAUUCUGGCGAUCUACCACCACCUUUGUUCUAUCGGUUGUAUUUCUGUGCCCGCACUAGUUCAAACACUGAAGGGUGUCACGGCUCGACUGGCGCCGCCCAACCCGCUGUCUGUCUGUCGUCAGGCGUUGCUGAACUUAUUAUCCUUGGGGACGGAAGACGCUCCGACGUGAGCUCCCGUCACCUCCAGGGGUUCUUCCUUCUGGACUCGUAGCUUCUUCUUCUUCUUCUUCUUCUUCUUCUUCUAGACGCUGAGAGACGUUGAUGUGACGCCGAGUUGAUCCAGAAUCGACUCUAGUUUCUCUGUGAGAAUCGACUCUAGUUACUAGAGAGGACGCGAAAAGUUCGUAAGAGCUCAAACUCAAAAAGUUUAACUUCAGUUAAUUUUAUUCACACACAGUUCUUUGUUUUGUUUUAGUCUCUUUUAGCCUUUGGUUUUGGUUUUACAGCCAAUAAACUCACGAUAUAAAGCAAAAAAGGUAAAGGUUUCAUUAUUUUAACUCUCCUCUGGGGUUACCUGCACUGACACUCGCUCAGUGACCUUCCACAACACGGAAUAUGAUGUUGAAAAUGUCUAACAUCUGGAAUAAUAAAUACAUUUACAGAUUUGUCACAGGAAACUGUCAUAUGGCUGAUUUUUCAAAUUUGGCAAACAAACUGUUAGCGGGUUGAAUCUUAACAGCCUGUGACAAAUAAAUAAGGGAUUCUUUUUUACUUCCAUAACUGUCUAAAAUUAAUGAAUAAAUUAUUUUUCGUCCAAAGAAAAAAAAUAUUUUUGACAUUUUCGUAAAUAUGCUCAUUUCUUCUGUGGUGGAAAGCUGAAUUUGAACAUUGAUGAAUCACGUUUGUAUCCGUCUUUUGAAUAUGCAGCUACAGCUGGUUAGCUUAGCUUAGCAUAAAGACUGGAAACAGUUACAACCGCCACAUGUCGGCAUCCCUGAAGCUCACACGCUCUAUUGUAGUCAAAAUUGUAGUUUUUGAAAUAUCAUGUAAAUAACUUUAUACGUUUUUAUAACGAGUCCAGUGACGAUAUAAGUUCACACUGUUCUUCGUUGUACAUUUGAAGCCACUUUGUGCUUCUUACGAACAAAAUGCUAAAGAGACAAAGAUUUCGUCUCAACGUGUUUUUUUCUAGAAUCACUCGUUCCAUCUCUCCGGGUGCCGGUGCUGUUGUCCCUCUGUCAUUGUCCCUCUGUUAUUGUCCCUCUGUUAUUGUCCCUCUGUGCUAUUGUCCCUCUGUUAUUGUCCCUCUGUGUUAUUGUCCUUCUGUGCUAUUGUCCCUCUGUUAUUGUCCCUCUGUGUUAUUGUCCUUCUGUCCCUCUGUGCUAUUGUCCCCCUGUUAUUGUGUAUUGAUCAUAGUAACUCUGCUUUUCAAUGAGAUUGUAAAAGACUCUUUACUGUACAGACUGAAACACAAAUUUCUUUUUCUUGUUUCAUCUGAAGAAGUUUGCCGCUGUAGUUUUUUCUCUGAUCUUAUACGACUUAUUUUUUACACACUUCACUCAGAGAAGUGAUCAAAUCAACACUUUGUGCCGCUCGUUGAACACGAACGUGGAAACUAACGAGACCUGGAGGUUUUCUUUUUCUUUUUCUGUAACCCCGACUUGUGCCAAACGUCUCCGCCUCUAAAUCUUUUUCUAUUUUCAUGUUUUUCUACUCAAGCACAUUUUCUCUCUGCAGUUAUUAUUCCCAGUUCUUCUUCUCCGUCUUCCGUCUUCUCCUCGGUUCAUGACCUAGUUUUCUUUUUCGCCUGCUUUUUUUUCUGCCCUUAUCUACGAGAGCUCGUCAUAAAUCUUUUGUGUUUAGUUUUAGCACUUACACACAAACACACACACACACACACACACACACACACACACACUACCAGAGCUUUUAAGAUUGUUCUCAUAAACUGUGAUUGUUAAAUAAAUAUCGUUUUCACCUACAGGUCAACUUUAGGUUUUGUUUUGUAAAUGUACAGUCUGCAUGUUUUUAAACAUAUUACAUAUAACUAAUUAUUAUUAUUAUUAUUAUUUGUGCCUACAUUUAGGUUUUUUUUUUACACUUGUAUUAAAAAUUAAAUGUUUCUGAGUGAAGUGGAACUUUUUCUGCACCACACGACCCUGAACACACCAACUGACACACAAUAUAUUGUGAAAUGGCGCCCCCUGGCGACUCAGUGUCAAACUGACAAAUAUUUUUUUUUUAUUUGUAUAAUUUAAAACCAGCGAAUAAAGAAUCAUAAACGACUUUUUAUACGAGUUUGUAUGAAGAUACUUUUGAAAAAAUAUUUAAUCAACUCGUAAAAUUGCGUUUAUUUUCUAAAUAUGUGCUUUAAUUAAAAAAGUGUUGACCUUGGAUGAACAAGAAUCUGAGCAGACAUCACAUAGUUUUAUUUUUGUUACAUAUUUUUGUUUAUAAUCUCAAAACUGUAAAAUUUGAAGCUGCUUUUUAAAAAAAAUGUCCCCAGUUUUAAUUGAUUUUUAAGCAGCUAAUGAAAGUUAAAUAAUUGUCAUAGUGAGCUGCCAAAAAACGGAUUCAUUUAUCGUCCCAGUAAAUGAAGCGUUGAAAGUGAAUGCAAAAUGUGUUUUUUAUAGGUGUCAAAAGACUGAUGCUUCAUGACGUCAUCACUGUAACAGGAAGUGGAGCUCUAAUUGAAUUAAUUAAUUAACAGAAGAUUUGUGACAAAAUAUCCCAGUAAACUAUUUUCAUCCACACACACUCCCCUCUUGAAACCUGAACGUUUUAAUAUUUGUAUGUGUAUGAAACUUGUGAAAUACUGAAUUACAUUUAUGACUAACCAAUAAAUGAACUAAGGGGG